CGCCUUCCCGAACCCUACCCCUCUGCUGGCGGCGACUCCCCCCACGCCCUUCUUUUCCCCGCAAUCUCACCAAGCCUCUCCACUCCACUCUUCGUCCCGUCGGGGUUGCUCUCCUGCAUAUCCACCCGUGGAUCGGCCUCUCUCCAAGACACAACCAUGCUCCUCGUGAUGAAACCCUAGGGGCGGCGGCGAUCUGAGGCGGGAGGUGCUGUGCCGGCCAUGGUUGCUGGCGGAAGGACCUCUGGAGAUAGCGAUAGCUUGACAUCCAUGGCGGAAACGGCCGGACAGCUUGUUCUUGAACAUGGAGGAAGGACGCGACCGAACCGAACACAGACAACGACCGGCCAGGAGAAAGUUGUUCGAUCCACUGUUUCGGCGGUUUGCUCCAGCCAACUUGGUCGGGCUGCUGCAGCUCCAACCUGUGAUAAAUAAGAUGGUUGAGAGGAUUUACAUGGUAAUCGGUAAUCGCCCACCUUGGCUCGCGGGAGGUCAGGAACAGGACAUCCAGCAACAACCUCAAGAGCUCAAAAUGUUGCAGGCCAAUGUGUUUCCUUCUCUUCAUUAGAUCAAGUCCAAAGAUGCCUUGGGACAGAUUUUGGGUGUUUCUAAGUUGGGCCAUGUUUGCAUGUCGACUAACACAUCUGACAAUUCUAAGAGGCUUUAUCGCUUUCUUAGAGAUGGCAGUUUCAAUGCAGAUGAUAUGUGUGGACAAAUGAAGUGGCAUGGUAGGUGAGUUGUGUUUGUUGAAACACAUCUACAAUCUAGAGAUUAUGCUCGGGAAAACUGGCAAAGGAAGGUGUAUAAAUAGUUUAUUACAAGAUUCAGUCAAGAGGGAGGCUUAAGUUAUGUUGCAUGUAACACCUUGACAAAAUAAUCCUUUAUGGCAGUCGUCUACCCUUCUAAAUUGUUAUCUCUUGAAAUACUCUAAACAACCAGGACACAUGUAUGUGCUGAUAUUACUUAUUUCGAUGGCAAAAAGGACGAUUGAGAUGGAUCUCAUCAUGAGAAGAGUAUCAAGACAGGGACAUGAUGGAGAGAAUGAAGGUUGGUGCUCGAUGCAUAUGAUUGAGUUUUUUUUUUUGGAAGAAUUGAGGAAACAUAGCUCCAUGGAAGUUCAUCUGCAUAAUGACUGUCUAUACAAUUAUUGGAAUGGAUGAGGGGAGACAUAGGCGUAGUUGCAGUCAUGAUGUCCUUGAACAAAUGUAUAGCCAUUAGUUCCUGGUCUAUUACUUCUCAUGGCUACUUGAAUAUGUCAGAGCCGUGUGACAAUUUGAUCUUUUGGUAUAUGUGUGUUUAUUUUAUUGUUUUUCUUUUUGGCAUUUCUCCAUUUCAGUACUGGGUAUUGUGUAUGUUAUCUUGUGAAAGCGUUGCCAGCGGAUUUUUCUGAACAUCUUGUUUCUGAGAAAACGGAAUGGCAAAUGAGUGGAAAUGACUUUGCAUUUUGUUUU